rnacentral:rRNA from 1 species
CUAACACAUGCAAGUCGAGCGCACCUUCGGGUGAGCGGCGGACGGGUUAGUAACGCGUGGGAACGUACCCUUCUCUAAGGAAUAGCCACUGGAAACGGUGAGUAAUACCUUAUACGCCCUUCGGGGGAAAGAUUUAUCGGAGAAGGAUCGGCCCGCGUUAGAUUAGAUAGUUGGUGGGGUAAUGGCCUACCAAGUCUACGAUCUAUAGCUGGUUUUAGAGGAUGAUCAGCAACACUGGGACUGAGACACGGCCCAGACUCCUACGGGAGGCAGCAGUGGGGAAUCUUGGACAAUGGGCGCAAGCCUGAUCCAGCCAUGCCGCGUGAGUGAAGAAGGUCUUAGGAUCGUAAAGCUCUUUCGCCAGAGAUGAUAAUGACAGUAUCUGGUAAAGAAACCCCGGCUAACUCCGUGCCAGCAGCCGCGGUAAUACGGAGGGGGUUAGCGUUGUUCGGAAUUACUGGGCGUAAAGCGUACGUAGGUGGAUCAGAAAGUAAGGGGUGAAAUCCCAGGGCUCAACCCUGGAACUGCCUCUUAAACUCCUGGUCUUGAGUUCGAGAGAGGUGAGUGGAAUUCCAAGUGUAGAGGUGAAAUUCGUAGAUAUUUGGAGGAACACCAGUGGCGAAGGCGGCUCACUGGCUCGAUACUGACGCUGAGGUACGAAAGUGUGGGGAGCAAACAGGAUUAGAUACCCUGGUAGUCCACACCGUAAACGAUGAAUGCCAGUCGUCGGGCAGUAUACUGUUCGGUGACACACCUAACGGAUUA